GAGUUUGAUCCUGGCUCAGAGCGAACGCUGGCGGCGUGCUUAACACAUGCAAGUCGAGUGCGCAGCUUUCUGUAGCAAUACAGGAAGUGGGCGCACGGCGCACGGGUGAGUAACACGUGGGUAACCUGCCCUUGGAUGGGGAAUAACCCCGCGAAAGCGGGGCUAAUACCGCAUAACAUUCUUGAAACCUUGGUUUCGAGACUCAAAGCCGUAAGGCGUCCGAGGAGUGGCCCGCGUACGAUUAGCUAGUUGGCGAGGUAGUGGCUCACCAAGGCUUUGAUCGUUAGCCGGUCUGAGAGGAUGGCCGGCCACACUGGAACUGAGACACGGUCCAGACUCCUACGGGAGGCAGCAGUGGGGAAUAUUGCGCAAUGGGCGAAAGCCUGACGCAGCGACGCCGCGUGGGGAUGACGCUUUUCGGAGUGUAAACCCCUUUCGAUCGGGACGAAUGCCUCGCAAGAGGAGUGACGGUACCGGUAGAAGAAGCCCCGGCUAACUACGUGCCAGCAGCCGCGGUAAUACGUAGGGGGCCAGCGUUGCUCGGAAUAACUGGGCGUAAAGGGUUCGUAGGCGGUGCGGCAAGUUGGGAGUGAAAUCUCUGGGCUUAACUCAGAGACUGCUUUCAAAACUGCCGUGCUAGAGCGCGGGAGAGGCCAGUGGAAUUGCAGGUGUAGCGGUGAAAUGCGUAGAUAUCUGCAGGAACACCCGUGGCGAAGGCGGCUGGCUGGACCGCAACUGACGCUGAGGAACGAAAGCUAGGGGAGCAAACAGGAUUAGAUACCCUGGUAGUCCUAGCCCUAAACGAUCAGAACUUGGGGUGCAUCCCGUUGGGGGUGCGUCUCGUAGCUAACGCGUUAAGUUCUGCGCCUGGGGAGUACGGUCGCAAGACUGAAACUCAAAGGAAUUGACGGGGGCCCGCACAAGCGGUGGAACAUGUGGUUCAAUUCGACGCAACGCGAAGAACCUUACCUGGGCUUGAACUGCACUUGACAAAGGUAGAAAUAUCUCUCCCGCAAGGGCAAGUGUAGAGGUGCUGCAUGGCUGUCGUCAGCUCGUGCCGUGAGGUGUUGGGUUAAGUCCCGCAACGAGCGCAACCCCUGCCAUCAGUUGCUAUUGAUCUUCGGAUUAAGCACUCUGAUGGGACUGCCCGGGAAACCGGGAGGAAGGUGGGGAUGACGUCAAGUCAUCAUGGUCCUUAUGUCCAGGGCUACACACGUGUUACAAUGGCUAAUACAAAGGGAAGCGAAGCCGUAAGGUGAAGCAAACCUCACAAAAUUAGUCUAAGUUCGGAUUGAGGUCUGCAAUUCGACCUCAUGAAGUUGAAAUCGCUAGUAAUCGCGCAUCAUAACGGCGCGGUGAUACGUUCUCGGACCUUGUACACAC
rnacentral:rRNA from 1 species